CGAAAGCGUGGGGAGCGAACAGGAUUAGAUACCCUGGUAGUCCACGCCGUAAACGGUGGAUGCUGGAUGUGGGGCCCGUUCCACGGGUUCCGUGUCGGAGCUAACGCGUUAAGCAUCCCGCCUGGGGAGUACGGCCGCAAGGCUAAAACUCAAAGAAAUUGACGGGGGCCCGCACAAGCGGCGGAGCAUGCGGAUUAAUUCGAUGCAACGCGAAGAACCUUACCUGGGCUUGACAUGUUCCCGACAGCCGUAGAGAUAUGGCCUCCCUUCGGGGCGGGUUCACAGGUGGUGCAUGGUCGUCGUCAGCUCGUGUCGUGAGAUGUUGGGUUAAGUCCCGCAACGAGCGCAACCCUCGCCCUGUGUUGCCAGCACGUCAUGGUGGGAACUCACGGGGGACCGCCGGGGUCAACUCGGAGGAAGGUGGGGAUGACGUCAGAUCAUCAUGCCCCUUACGUCCAGGGCUUCACGCAUGCUACAAUGGCCGGUACAACGGGAUGCGACACGGCGACGUGGAGCGGAUCCCUGAAAACCGGUCUCAGUUCGGAUUGGAGUCUGCAACCCGACUCCAUGAAGGCGGAGUCGCUAGUAAUCGCGGAUCAGCAACGCCGCGGUGAAUGCGUUCCCGGGCCUUGUACACACCGCCCGUCAAGUCAUGAAAGUGGGUAGCACCCGAAGCCGGUGGCCUAACCCUUUGUGGAUGGAGCCGUCUAAGGUGAGACUCGUGAUUGGGACUAAGUCGUAACAAGGUAGCCGUACCGGAAGGUGCGGCUG
rnacentral:rRNA from 1 species